GGUCCCGUAGCUCAACUGAAUAGAGUACCACACUACGGAUGUGGGGGUUUCAGGUUUGAAUCCUGACGGGAUCA
rnacentral:tRNA from 1 species